rnacentral:rRNA from 1 species
GACGUAGGUGGCGAGCGUUGUUCGGAAUCACUGGGCAUAAAGCGCACGUAGGCGGCCAAGUCAGUCAGGUGUGAAAUACCUCGGCUCAACCGAGGAACUGCGCCUGAUACUGCUUGGCUUGAGGUCCGGAGGGGAGAGUGGAAUUCCCGGUGGAGCGGUGAAAUGCGUAGAGAUCGGGAAGAACGCCGGCGGCGAAAGCGACUCUCUGGUCGGAAUCUGACGCUGAGGUGCGAAAGCUAGGGAGCAAACGGG